AGAAGCUGAGAAUUUCAGAAGGCACUUGACAGCUCCACUGGGUCCUUCACACUUGGCUUUCAGGAACAAAAAAAAAAGCACGUUACUCUGCACCUGCCUUUCCCCCCACCCUCCUUAAAACUUAUUUACCCCUGAGGGUCUGAACAGCCGGAAGAAGAGGGUGUUCAAGGAGACUGGAGAGAAUGAAACAGCAGGUGCAUUCUGGCAUCUUUUCAUCCUAAUAAAACUCCUCCAAAGAAUCUGCCGUUUCCCUUCUGCCAUAGCCAGGAUCUGGUUUCAGACCUGCCGCCGUUCCCUCAGCAACACCUCCCUGCUCAGUGUUUGUCCCCCAGGUGACCUCCAUCCUGUUGAUUUCUACUGUGUUUAAGGACAAAUAAGUUGAGAAACAAUGACCUGCAAUUUCAUGACCUGUUGGUCCUAUUUCUACUACAAACACUCUGACCAUGUUGUUCACCCUCUGGUGGUCGUCACUGAUCCAAGACCUCCUGGCAGGGGAAUGUCUGAAAUGAAAGUCGCUGCUGAUUCAGAGAUGAAGAAUAUAAAAUCAAUAGUCCUGGGAAGGUUCCACAUUUGUCUUCCUCUCUGCAGACCAAGAAUAGCAUUCGUCUCUUUCAAAAUCAGAACAGAUUGCCCUUAUUGAAGAAAUAGACGUGGUUAAGGAAUUCUGUGCACCUGAACAUGAACAAGGAAAUAUGUUUAAAGUUCAUUGCAGCACUGAUUGCAAUAAUGAAUUAAUAGAACAACCCAAAUGUCUCUCAAUAAAGGAAUUUAUAAAAUGAAACACUAUCCAGACGUUAAAAUAAAUGGAUUAAACCAAUAUGUACUAACACAGCAAGAACUAAAAAACAAUGUUGGAUGAAAAUUAUACCAUGUACCAUGGAUGUCAUACAGGUGGGACCCUGAUACAUUAAGUGGCUCUAGAAAUGGCCCCAAGAAAACUGCAUGAGCGGGUGGCUCGGGAUUCCAUGGUGCCUGAUCUACUUUAUCACUGCCUCUCCCUGAACCUACCACACCUGUGGACCCAUCAGGCUUCCCCUAUAAUAGUUAACAGAAAAGUAAAACAGCAUGGGCCUGGUCCACUGCUGGAUCUACACAGUGUCCCACACCAGCCACAAGUGGACUGCCCUUUC